GCAUUGGUGGUUCAACAGUAGAAUUUUCACCUUGCAUGCAGGCGACCCUGGUUUGAUUCCUGACCAAUGCA
rnacentral:tRNA from 1 species